GCUCGGCCUUUUGCGUCUGGAAAGCGGCCGAGUUAGGUACGCCGGGAAGUCGUGUUUUGACCGCGAAAAUGGGAACUUCGCCAGAACUUUACGGCGUGAUUAAGAUGCAGGCGGCUCAAGAUUCUUACCUUGGUGGCGGGAGGCAGUCAGCUUUAAAAGUCUGUAGUUUGAAGGGCUAGAACGGACGGUGGAGUUCCUUGGGUCGCGCGACGGCCACGUGCGGCCCGGAACCCUGACGAGCCGAGGUCCGAGCCGGAAGCGCCGGGGAGCAGAGCGCGGGCGCGGGCCAUCUUGAGCCCUCUGCGUGUGCGCCGGAGCCCCUCGAGCGCCGCCGCCUCCGGGCGCACGCGGAAGCGGAACUCCGGGCUGAUGGCUCAUGGAAGCGGGGCAAGGUAAUCAAGAAAA